GGGCGCUUAGCUCAGAUGGUAGAGCGUCUGCCUUACACGCAGAAUGUCGGCGGUUCGAUCCCGUCAGCGCCCA
rfam:Polynucleobacter sp. MWH-Weng1-1 2574185728, whole genome shotgun sequence.